rnacentral:rRNA from 1 species
UAAUGUCUGGGAAACUGCCUGAUGGAGGGGGAUAACUACUGGAAACGGUAGCUAAUACCGCAUAACGUCGCAAGACCAAAGAGGGGGACCUUCGGGCCUCUUGCCAUCGGAUGUGCCCAGAUGGGAUUAGCUUGUUGGUGGGGUAACGGCUCACCAAGGCGACGAUCCCUAGCUGGUCUGAGAGGAUGACCAGCCACACUGGAACUGAGACACGGUCCAGACUCCUACGGGAGGCAGCAGUGGGGAAUAUUGCACAAUGGGCGCAAGCCUGAUGCAGCCAUGCCGCGUGUAUGAAGAAGGCCUUCGGGUUGUAAAGUACUUUCAGCGGGGAGGAAGGGAGUAAAGUUAAUACCUUUGCUCAUUGACGUUACCCGCAGAAGAAGCACCGGCUAACUCCGUGCCAGCAGCCGCGGUAAUACGGAGGGUGCAAGCGUUAAUCGGAAUUACUGGGCGUAAAGCGCACGCAGGCGGUUUGUUAAGUCAGAUGUGAAAUCCCCGGGCUCAACCUGGGAACUGCAUCUGAUACUGGCAAGCUUGAGUCUCGUAGAGGGGGGUAGAAUUCCAGGUGUAGCGGUGAAAUGCGUAGAGAUCUGGAGGAAUACCGGUGGCGAAGGCGGCCCCCUGGACGAAGACUGACGCUCAGGUGCGAAAGCGUGGGGAGCAAACAGGAUAAGAUACCCUGGUAGUCCACGCCGUAAACGAUGUCGACUUGGAGGU